rnacentral:rRNA from 1 species
GACGUAGGGCGCGAGCGUUGUCCGGAUUUAUUGGGCGUAAAGGGCUCGUAGGCGGUUUGUCACGUCAGGAGUGAAAACUCGGGGCUCAACCCCGAGCCUGCUUCUGAUACGGGCAGACUAGAGUGCGGUAGGGGAGAGUGGAAUUCCUGGUGUAGCGGUGAAAUGCGCAGAUAUCAGGAGGAACACCAAUGGCGAAGGCAGCACUCUGGGACGUGACUGACGCUGAGACGCGAAAGCGUGGGGAGCAAACAGG